rnacentral:rRNA from 1 species
AAUGAACGCUGGCGGCGUGCCUAACACAUGCAAGUCGGAUGUGCCGCAAGGUGCAUGGCAGACGGGUGAGUAACGCGUGGAAAACCUACCUCUUUGUGGGAAUAACGAGCCGAAAGGUUUGGUAAUACCGCAUGAGACCUUGAGCUGGGAUGCUCAAGGUGAAACCUGGGGACCGCAAGGCCUGGGGCAAGGAGAGGGUUCUGCGUCUGAUUAGCUAGUUGGCGGGUAACGGCCCACCAAGGCGACGAUCAGUAGCCGGCCUGAGAGGGUGAUCGGCCACACUGGAACUGAGACACGGUCCAGACUCCUACGGGAGGCAGCAGUGGGGAAUUUUGCGCAAUGGGGGCAACCCUGACGCAGCAACGCCGCGUGGGUGAUGAAGGUC